rnacentral:rRNA from 1 species
UACGGAGGGUGCAAACGUUGCUCGGAAUCAUUGGGCGUAAAGCGCACGUAGGCGGUCCGUUAUGUCGGGUGUGAAAGCCCUCGGCUUAACCGAGGAAGUGCACUCGAAACUGGCGGACUGGAGUACUGGAGAGGGUCGCGGAAUUCCCGGUGUAGAGGUGAAAGUCGUAGAUAUCGGGAGGAACACCAGUGGCGAAGGCGGCGACCUGGACAGAUACUGACGCUGAGGUGCGAAAGCGUGGGGAGCAAACAGG